GGGGAAGUACCGUUUCAUGGUAGCCUGGGACCCAGCUGCACGCUCCAGGGUCCAGGCCAGUCCAGGAGGUCCCCAGGCCUUGGAACCCUGGAGUUUCCCAGAACUUCUUGGCUGUCUUCCUGCUGAAUCCACAGUCCCCUUCUUGCAGAACGACAGAGCACAGGUUCAGAUUCUCCGUAGGGACCCUGUGCCUUUCCCACUGGGCUGACUCGCUUCGCCAUGGUGGAGCUUUAUAAGACCUGGCAAGAUAAGGGCUCCCGCAGUCUAGCCUCAGCUGGCAGAGAGCCUCCCAGCUCUUGGUUCUGCAAGUUACUGACCUGGGAGCCCCAUCACGGGGACUCCAAGCAGAUGUCCUAGCUUGGGUGCUGCUGAGAGCUUGUAAACAGGUGUACCUGCCUUGCUGGAAUGACCCAGGCAUUUGAAGUCACCGACUCAGACCACAACGGAAGAGAAGAAUAAUUUAUCUCACGAGCGCAGUAAAUGCAGUCCGAUGUCUUGAACGUAAGCCAUCGAUCAUUCUUUAAAGUAGAGGAGAUGUGUGUCAGCAGAGAAACGGUCUCUCUUAUGAGGCACAAAUUCCACGAAUGUGUGUACUAUUGAUUCUCCGUCAAAGACGCCACGUUCCUAUCUGCGGGACGUCGAUGUGUCCAGCCAAGCCCUCGCCUCUGAGAUAAUUGCACGUGACACUUGGGCAUCUACAUCCUGAAGCCUUGGCGCCCAAGUUUCUACUCCCCCUAAGGUGAGGAGGGCAGCCUGCAGCCCCCACAAUGAGACCCGCUUCUUUCUGCCCGUUCAUGGAGUGACUCGGAGGCCAGAGAGCUGAUUUGCCGAAGGACCACUUGGUAGAGAGCCUCUGGGUGGAUAGCUGCGCAGAUGCCAUUGGAUCACCUUCUCCAUCGCUAGUUAGCCAUGAGGCAACCUGUGAUCAUCCAGCCAGGACAUGCCAGACACUCAGACGCCAGCCAGCAUCAGAGCUGUCCCUCACCCUCAAGAGCCCUCACGUCACGUCCACUAUUUUCCUGCAGAAAGACGGUUCAGCAUCCCGGCUCUCACUUGCAGGACUCUCAGACGUGGCUUUUCCCAGGACGUCACUUACUGCUCUCAGAAAAAUGCGGGUGGCUGUUGGAAGGAGCGCUGCAAAGGAGGUGGAGUGAGGCUGGGGGCUGUGGAUGGAUGUCCUCAAGAAGGCUGGACAGGCAUGGACUGUGCAGACCCCAAGGCAGUGGACGAAGCAGGCUGGCAUCCAGGAACCCCACGUGAGGCUCCCGCAGCAGAGAGACACAUCAUGCAUUCAAGAAAUCAAAGGAUGCCAAAUUAUGAGACCCAGAAACCAAGUAUCCGUCACAGCCUGUGCUGGUUUUUGUCCCCACAGGAUGCUUGAAGGACUUAGCCUCAGAAUAACGUCCUGUCUCUCUACAACGUGUUAUUUCCCCUCCUCCUGGUGUGUCCACUCGUGCUCUGGGAAGUCCAGGAGGCUGGGCACUGUCUGAGGCUUAGGACAGGAAGCAGGCCUGUCCUCCUAGAGGUUCACUGCCUUCUGAGUGUGGCCCACAGACACACCACACCUAGAACACAAGCGCCCACAUCUGCAAACUCGUAAACCUGCUGAGAUACGUGAUUUGAACCGGACUUGAAAAACACAACUUGCAGCAUAUUUAGCAGCAUUUCCCAAGCCGUGGACUUUCAGUCACUGUCCUCUCCAGACGUCCACCGAAGAACAGAAUUUGUGAGCCGUUCUCUGUCCUGUCACAUCUGCCCUCCCCAGACAUCUGUAGAAACCAGGGCCAGAGGGACUCAGAGCUAGAAAAAAAUUCUCACCUGUGGACGCCAAGGUCACAUGAACAUUACACUCCAAGUCCAGGACUCUGGAGGCGUCGUCUGUAAAGCAGAAAAUAAAAAUCCCACGGUGACUUUAUGGCCAAAGUGAAACUGGUUCACUCGGGGAAAGGACCUGGCAGCCCCUUCAUCUCGUUGGGGAAAAAGCCAGUGAACCACAUCCCAGGGCACAAGCCCACGACCCCCUUUUAAAGUGGCUCCCAUCCCAGGACCCCUGCACUAGGACUUAGGCACCAGCCAGACUCAGGUUGGGUGGACGACACGUUCCAGAGUUUGCUCUGCCCGGGUCGGCGUGAAGGUGAAAAGGUCUUUGGUUCAGACCACAAAACCCUUCCUUUUCUGAAUGAAUGAUGUGAAACCCCAAACGUACAACAGCACCAUUGCUGGGCCUCCGAUGUGUCCAUUGACCCCUCUGCUGGCAGUCAGGAGAGGCCCCCAGCCUCUCCAGGUACCUGCAUGUAUCUUCUGUCUGUGCUGCUGACCGUCGGAGGGGGCAUCAGAGUGCAAAGCAGCAGGAACCACUCCAGACUUCAGAACCUGUCUCAUAACUCUGCUUCUAAAGGAAAACAGAAUCAGACCCAAAUCUAGAACACACACAGGCGGGUAAGCCCGCCCCUGAGUUGGCUGUGACCGCUGCCUCCACCUCCCGCAGUCCAGUAGGGAAGAGGAACGCGUCCCCCUUAGGGGACGGUUUGGGAUAUCAGCUACCACGAGGAAGAGCCCGCUGGCCGGCACAAUGCCUUCACCACACUUAGUCAUUUGGCGAGUUUACUCAGUCCUUGGGCAUCCGGAGUGGGCAAUGUUUCAUUUUAGUUCCCAUGUCAGGGCUGCAGUUUCAACAUCCGUUCCUAUUGUGGCUCCGUGAGUUAUGAACCCACCAGGUAUCCACAAGUGGGUGUGAUCCCCGGCCUUGCUCGGUGGGUUAAGGAUCUGGCAUGGCCAUGAGCUGUAGUGGUGUAGGUUGCAGAGGCGGCUCGGAUCCCACAUCGCUGUGGCUGUGGUGUAGGCUGGCUGCUGCAGCUCUGGUUCGACCCCUAGCCCGGGAACGUCCAGAUGUCGCAGGUGUGGCCCUAAAAAGACAAAUAAAUAAAUCAAUAAUCAUCCCCUUUCCGUUGACUUUAUGUCCCUAGAGAGGUCAUCCCUCAAAGACCUAUGCACUGUGCAGUGAUGGACAGUAUUUGGUGGUGCUGGGGGAGGAAUCCUCUUCGGAUUGCAUACGCGGUUUCUCUUCUCUCUUGCCAGUCGAAGAUACUUUCGGGUUCCGAGAAGAGCACAUGCUAGAGAGGCCGUUGUCUGUGGGGCCAGGAAACCACGAGCCUGUCCGUUUCCCAAAAAAGGGCUCCGAGGACUCUCUGUUCCCCAGAGGGACAGGGCAUUUGGGGGUGGGCAGAGCCUGCACAUCGUGAAUGUCCCUGACGGCUUUUUUUUGAGGGCGCAGGCUCGGCGUAGGAGGUGUGACUCCUGAGCUGGGAUCCCUGGCAGAAGUGGGAUGAAAGGACACACAUGACAGUGAAAGAGAUGGUCCCUGAGAACCUACUGUGGAGCGUGGGGAAAUCUCCUCCAUAGUCUGAACUAACCUUUAUGGGGGAAAAAAAACAAUGGACAGAUGUCUCUUAAGGCUGAGUCACUUUGCUGACUCAUACAACGUUGUAAAUCAACUCUACGCCAAUAUAAUUCAUGUCUUUUUUGUCAUUUGUCUUUUUAGGUCUGCACCCACGGCAUGUGGAGGUUCCCAGGCUUGGGGUCCAGUUGGAGCUGUAGCCACCAGCCUACCCCACAGCCACAGCAACGCCAGAUCCGAGCUGCGUCUGCAACCCACACCACAGCUCCCGACGACACUGGAUCCUUAACCCACGGAUUGAGGCCAGGGAUUCAACCUGCAUCCUCAGGGAUGCUCGUCAGAUUCAUUUCCACUGAGCCACGAUGGAUACUCCCAGGAUAAUUAAUUUUUUUAAAAAGAUACUUUCAGUCCAUUCCGCAGCUAACAGAUCUCAAAGGCUGGGGACCCACGGGCUCCCUAUGGUGGAGGCCGUUCUCUCUCUCCAUGUCUCCUGUAGCAACGGGCAGGCUCCUCCUUAUGGUGGCAUUAAAUGAACAAGAAGUCCGUCUGGGAAAGGUACUCCCUCGCCUGUGUCUGCCUGGGGACCCAACUCGUCUGCUUUUCCGAGGCCACCUUCAGAAAAGGAGCUGCUGCUUUUUUUUUUUUUAAUUUAUUAUUAUUUCCCCCCCAUAUAUUAUUAUUUUUUCCUACUGUACAGCAUGGUCACCCAUGAUGUGAGAAAAAAGAAUGUAUACAUGUAUGUGUACCUGGAAAAGGAGCUUCUGAAGGACCCAUUGACUCCCGUGAGACUGCGAGACUUCUUAGGGAGAGAGACUUAGGAAGGCGGAGGCCAGGCAGCGCAUCCUGGGUGGGAUGGCAGGACCGCAGAUGUGGUUUGGCCAAGACGGAGCUCCUCCAGGCGCCCUCGAGAGAAGGGGGGCUUUUCAGACAACAAGAGAGUGCCUGUGUCCUGACUCCCAGCGCAGGCGCACGCUGGGAGCUGAGCUUCCCACGGGGACACACACGGUGCUGGGGACACGGCGGCCCCGUCUGCUUGCUUCCAGGAAGUGGAACCUUGUCCCACAGAUCUCUCUCCAGCGAGGGCUGACGGAGAUCAACUCUGGAAGCCUCGAUGACAGAAACGUCAUUAAAGUCACGGAGAGCUAAAGGUUUGGAGGCUGGGAUCAUAACAUAAGUAAAAUACUGCAUUUGAACAGUUUUUUUCCAGAUGGGAGUGCUUAUGGGGAGUAAAAUUAGCAAAAAAUUAUGGAGUUCUUGUGGCUCAGCAAGAUAAGGACCCAGCAUAGUGUCUGUGAGGAUGUGUGUUUGAUCCCUGGCCUCGCUCAGUGGGUAAAGGAUCCGGCGUGGCCGUGAGCUGUCGCAUCGGUUGCCGGUGUGGCUCGGAUCUGGUGUUGCUGUGGCUGUCUCGUAGACCUGCAGCUGCAGCUCCAAUUCCGACCUCUAACCCGGCACUAUCUACAUGCUGCAGGCAUGGCCUUAAAAAAAGAAAAAAAA
rnacentral:lncRNA from 9 species